AUUGAACGCUGGCGGCAUGCCUUACACAUGCAAGUCGAACGGUAACAGGUCUUCGGAUGCUGACGAGUGGCGAACGGGUGAGUAAUACAUCGGAACGUGCCUAGUAGUGGGGGAUAACUACUCGAAAGAGUGGCUAAUACCGCAUGAGAUCUACGGAUGAAAGCAGGGGAUCGCAAGACCUUGUGCUAUUAGAGCGGCCGAUGGCAGAUUAGGUAGUUGGUGGGAUAAAAGCUUACCAAGCCGACGAUCUGUAGCUGGUCUGAGAGGACGAUCAGCCACAAUGGGACUGGGACACGGCACAGACUCCGACGGGAGGCAGCAGUGGGGAAUUUUGGACAAUGGGCGCAAGCCUGAUCCAGCAAUGCCGCGUGCAGGAUGAAGGCCUUCGGGUUGUAAACUGCUUUUGUACGGAACGAAAAGCCCUGGGUUAAUACCCUUGGGUCAUGACGGUACCGUAAGAAUAAGCACCGGCUAACUACGUGCCAGCCGCCGCAGUAAAAC
rnacentral:rRNA from 1 species